rnacentral:rRNA from 1 species
GAUGAACGCUAGCGAUAGGCUUAACACAUGCAAGUCGAGGGGCAGCAUUAUUUUAGCUUGCUAAGAUAGAUGGCGACCGGCGCACGGGUGCGUAACGCGUAUGCAACUUGCCUUACAGAGGGGGAUAACCCGUUGAAAGACGGACUAAAACCGCAUACACUUGUAUUAUUGCAUGAUAUUACAAGGAAAUAUUUAUAGCUGUAAGAUAGGCAUGCGUCCCAUUAGCUGGUUGGUGAGGUAACGGCUCACCAAGGCGACGAUGGGUAGGGGAACUGAGAGGUUUAUCCCCCACACUGGUACUGAGACACGGACCAGACUCCUACGGGAGGCAGCAGUGAGGAAUAUUGGUCAAUGGGCGAGAGCCUGAACCAGCCAAGUCGCGUGAAGGAAGACAGUCCUAAGGAUUGUAAACUUCUUUUAUACGGGAAUAACGGGCGAUACGAGUAUUGCAUUGAAUGUACCGUAAGAAUAAGCAUCGGCUAACUCCGUGCCAGCAGCCGCGGUAAUACGGAGGAUGCGAGCGUUAUCCGGAUUUAUUGGGUUUAAAGGGUGCGUAGGUUGUUCGGUAAGUCAGCGGUGAAACCUGAGCGCUCAACGUUCAGCCUGCCGUUGAAACUGCCGGGCUUGAGUUCAGUGGCGGCAGGCGGAAUUCGUGGUGUAGCGGUGAAAUGCAUAGAUAUCACGAGGAACUCCGAUUGCGAAGGCAGCUUGCCAUACUGCGACUGACACUGAAGCACGAAGGCGUGGGUAUCAAACAGG